AUGCUUGCUUUGGCAGCACAUAUACUAAAAUUGAAAUGAUACAGAGAAGAUCAGGCCCUUGUGCAAGGAUGACAUGCAAAUUCAUGAAGUGUUCUGUAUUUUU
rnacentral:snRNA from 1 species